UCAGCUUGUAGUUUGGGUGCUGGCUAGAUGGUAAUUUUUUUGUCUAAGUUCUUCUAUUGUUUCCUUAUUUUCAGGGAUAUGCCAAUAUUCAAUCCCAAAGAAAGGGAUCCAGGUGAGGCCUCACCUUGGAAGCUAUGGGAGAAAGAAUUUGUUCUAGAAUAUAGGUUUGUACCACACUACAUGAUGUGCAAAUCUCACUGCAAAUAACUUGUAUUGUUCAGAAAAGUCCUUGUUCUAUUACUUAGAGUCAUACCUAUAGAGCUAGUGCUCCUCCGAACAUUCUUGUAAUGUUAGU